rnacentral:rRNA from 1 species
AAUGAACGCUGGCGGCAGGCUUAACACAUGCAAGCCGAGCGGAGUGAUGGUGCUUGCACUAUCACUUAGCGGCGGACGGGUGAGUAAUGCUUAGGAAUCUGCCUAUUAGUGGGGGACAACAUCUCGAAAGGGAUGCUAAUACCGCAUACGUCCUACGGGAGAAAGCAGGGGAUCACUUGUGACCUUGCGCUAAUAGAUGAGCCUAAGUCGGAUUAGCUAGUUGGUGGGGUAAAGGCCUACCAAGGCGACGAUCUGUAGCGGGUCUGAGAGGAUGAUCCGCCACACUGGGACUGAGACACGGCCCAGACUCCUACGGGAGGCAGCAGUGGGGAAUAUUGGACAAUGGGGGGAACCCUGAUCCAGCCAUGCCGCGUGUGUGAAGAAGGCCUUAUGGUUGUAAAGCACUUUAAGCGAGGAGGAGGCUCUUUUGGUUAAUACCCAAGAUGAGUGGACGUUACUCGCAGAAUAAGCACCGGCUAACUCUGUGCCAGCCGCCGCAGUAA